GAUCUUUCAAAUCAAUAGUUCUUGAGCUUAUUUGACCAUUUGAGAUCAUUCAUAUCAGAUUCUUCGUAUGGAAUCAGAUUCAAUUUUCUCCAAGAAGAGUAAUGUUCCUGUUUCAGGAAACAAUGCCUCUCCAAGAAAUCAUACCAUCAUGUCAACCCUUUCUCAAGAAGAGCGACAAUACUCUCAACAACUCCAUCAAUACCAAGGCUUUUGGUGCUUUCCAGCUUACUUGGAAGGCAUCAUGUCAGCACAGGAACACUUCAUAGCUCAGUCUACUGAUAUUAUCAAUUGCAGCCAUCCAAAAUCUGGUACAACUUGGCUUAAAGCCCUAUGUUUCGCCAUUCUGACGAGAAAGCAGUUCAGCGAAUCCUCUACAAAUCCUUUACUUACCGAACUGCCGCAUGAUAUUGUGCCCUUAAUUGAUCAUUUAGCUUAUAACAGAGACCCAGACCUUCCACUUGUAGCCACUCACAUUCCCUACAACUCCUUGCCCAAGUCUAUAAUAGAGUCCAAGUGUAAAAUUAUUUA
rnacentral:misc_RNA from 1 species